GUAGCAUAAUUUAUCCUGUUUAAUAAAGUAAAGUUUGUCUUUUAUGUCACAUUCAGGUAAUGUAAGAAAUUUCAGAAGGAUGGGAAGAUCCUCCCCCAUCCCCAAUCAAAAAUGGCAGCUGUAGUGUUUGCCAAACAUGAGAAACCCCAGCUGAAGCCUGAGCCUCAUGUACAGAGGAAAAGAACGAAACACAAUGAAAUGACAUGUCAGGUUGGUCUCAUAGCUGCGUUCAUAUAUUUUUAAUAUAGUUUCUUUUUUUCUGUUGGCAUAAACGGAGGAAUUUCAUGAACAGUACUGUAAAUAUUCAUCCUUGACUCGCCGAGUUUUCCUGCUUAAAAAUCAGCUAAUUAUAAACCGUACUCUUUUUCCAACGCUAACCCUGUGGGGUUUUUUUUUCUACGCUGAGUUUUCCUUACCUUCAUUUGUCGCCUCACGUCGCUAACUGUCGCUAGUGUCUUUGAGAUUAGCGUCGGUUGCUACGGUUUUCCUCACAGCACCUACCAUGUUCACUGGCCUGUUUCAUCUGCGUUUGUUUUUUUCGACACUCAAAAAUCGUUAUACAUUCAAAGCAGCUAAAAUUCUCAGG